CAUGCCGUGCCUCAUUUGGCAGGGGGACACUGAAGAGGUCAGAUGGACUCCUCACUCCUCUUUGUUUCCUUCUGUAGGGUUACAUACCAUACAGGAGGUCACUUUGGGUCACAGAUCAUGGAGGGCAAAACUGAUGAAGGUGCUGAAUGGACAUCAUGCUGUCUCUAUGGAGGAAGCCCUUUUCAUUGCAUUUGGCUCACCUGGUAGUGUCCGGAUACGCUGGUGGAGAGAGACAUACAGGCCAGGCCAGACAGAACAAAGGGGCUGCCAUAUAGUAGGCAUGCAUGUGAGUGGGAGUGCGUUCUCAUGACUGGGCUAUGUUGUCAUACUGAGUGACACCCCCUGUGAAAAAUGCUAAAAUGUCUUGACAUGGU